rnacentral:rRNA from 1 species
AUAUAUGGAGGAACACCAGUGGCGAAGGCGGCUCUCUGGUCUGUAACUGACGCUGAGGCUCGAAAGCGUGGGGAGCGAACAGGAUUAGAUACCCUGGUAGUCCACGCCGUAAACGAUGAGUGCUAAGUGUUGGAGGGUUUCCGCCCUUCAGUGCUGCAGCAAACGCAUUAAGCACUCCGCCUGGGGAGUACGACCGCAAGGUUGAAACUCAAAGGAAUUGACGGGGGCCCGCACAAGCGGUGGAGCAUGUGGUUUAAUUCGAAGCAACGCGAAGAACCUUACCAGGUCUUGACAUCCUUUGACCACUCUAGAGAUAGAGCUUCCCCUUCGGGGGCAAAGUGACAGGUGGUGCAUGGUUGUCGUCAGCUCGUGUCGUGAGAUGUUGGGUUAAGUCCCGCAACGAGCGCAACCCUUAUUGUUAGUUGCCAUCAUUUAGUUGGGCACCCUAGCGAGACUGCCGGUGACAAACCGGAGGAAGGUGGGGAUGACGUCAAAUCAUCAUGCCCCUUAUGACCUGGGCUACACACGUGCUACAAUGGGAAGUACAACGAGUUGCGAAGUCGCGAGGCUAAGCUAAUCUCUUAAAGCUUCUCUCAGUUCGGAUUGUAGGCUGCAACUCGCCUACAUGAAGCCGGAAUCGCUAGUAAUCGCGGAUCAGCACGCCGCGGUGAAUACGUUCCCGGGCCUUGCACACAC